rnacentral:rRNA from 1 species
GAUCAUGGCUCAGGAUGAACGCUAGCUACAGGCUUAACACAUGCAAGUCGAGGGGCAGCGGGAUUGAAGCUUGCUUCAAUUGCCGGCGACCGGCGCACGGGUGAGUAACGCGUAUCCAACCUUCCGUACACUCAGGGGAUAGCCUUUCGAAAGAAAGAUUAAUACCUGAUAGUAUGGUGAGAUUGCAUGAUAACACCCAUUUAAAAGAUUUUAUUGGUAAACGAUGGGGGAUGCGUUCCAUUAGGUAGUAGGCGGGGUAACGGCCCACCUAGCCUGCGAUGGAUAGGGGUUCUGAGAGGAAGGUCCCCCACAUUGGAACUGAGACACGGUCCAAACUCCUACGGGAGGCAGCAGUGAGGAAUAUUGGUCAAUGGGCGAGAGCCUGAACCAGCCAAGUAGCGUGAAGGAUGAAGGUCCUACGGAUUGUAAACUUCUUUUAUACGGGAAUAAAGUUUCCUACGUGUAGGAUUUUGUAUGUACCGUAUGAAUAAGCAUCGGCUAACUCCGUG